rnacentral:rRNA from 1 species
UACGGAGGAUGCGAGCGUUAUCCGGAUUUAUUGGGUUUGAAGGGUGCGUAGGCGGCUUAGUAAGUCAGCGGUGAAAUUUUGCAGCUUAACUGUAACAGUGCCGUUGAUACUGCCAGGCUAGGAUUUGGUUGCUGUGGGUGGAAUGUGUGGUGUAGCGGUGAAAUGCUUAGAUAUCACACAGAAUAUCGAUUGCGAAGGCAGCUCACAAAGCCAAGAUUGACGCUGAGGCACGAAAGCGUGGGGAUCAAA